rnacentral:rRNA from 1 species
GAUGAACGCUGGCGGCGUGCCUAAUACAUGCAAGUCGAACGGAGAAUAUAGCAAUAUGUUCUUAGUGGCGAACGGGUGAGUAACGCGUUGGUGACCUGCCCCGAAGCGGGGGAUAACAGUCCGAAAGGAUUGCUAAUACCCCAUGUGGUUAUUUGGAUUAGAUGCCUUAUAACUAAACGGAUUUAUUCGCUUCGGGAGGGCCUGCGUCCCAUCAGCUAGUUGGUAGGGUAAUGGCCUACCAAGGCUAUGACGGGUAGGGGACCUGAGAGGGUGGCCCCCCACAAUGGAACUGAAACACGGUCCAUACACCUACGGGUGGCUG